rnacentral:rRNA from 1 species
GGGGACAACGUUUCGAAAGGAACGCUAAUACCGCAUACGUCCUACGGGAGAAAGCAGGGGACCUUCGGGCCUUGCGCUAUCAGAUGAGCCUAGGUCGGAUUAGCUAGUUGGUGAGGUAAUGGCUCACCAAGGCGACGAUCCGUAACUGGUCUGAGAGGAUGAUCAGUCACACUGGAACUGAGACACGGUCCAGACUCCUACGGGAGGCAGCAGUGGGGAAUAUUGGACAAUGGGCGAAAGCCUGAUCCAGCCAUGCCGCGUGUGUGAAGAAGGUCUUCGGAUUGUAAAGCACUUUAAGUUGGGAGGAAGGGUUGUAGAUUAAUACUCUGCAAUUUUGACGUUACCGACAGAAUAAGCACCGGCUAACUCUGUGCCAGCAGCCGCGGUAAUACAGAGGGUGCAAGCGUUAAUCGGAAUUACUGGGCGUAAAGCGCGCGUAGGUGGUUUGUUAAGUUGGAUGUGAAAUCCCCGGGCUCAACCUGGGAACUGCAUCCAAAACUGGCAAGCUAGAGUAUGGUAGAGGGUGGUGGAAUUUCCUGUGUAGCGGUGAAAUGCGUAGAUAUAGGAAGGAACACCAGUGGCGAAGGCGACCACCUGGACUGAUACUGACACUGAGGUGCGAAAGCGUGGGGAGCAAACAGGAUU